UGGGAACGGGCGCUAAACCCCAAAUGCCGAGUGGUGAAAAGAUUUCUGCCUAAGGAAGAGCUCGCGGCUGAUUAGCUAGUUGGUAGGAUAAAAGACUACCAAGGCAACGAUCAGUAGCUGGUUUGAGAGGACGAUCAGCCACACUGGGACUGAGACACGGCCCAGACUCCUACGGGAGGCAGCAGUGGGGAAUCUUCUGCAAUGGGCGAAAGCCUGACAGAGCAAUACCGCGUGAGGGAUAAAAGCCUGAGGGUCGUAAACCUCUUUUUUCAGGGAAGAAAUUUGACGGUACCUGAAGAAUAAGCAUCGGCUAACUCCGUGCCAGCAGCCGCGGUGUACGGAGGAUGCAAGCGUUAUCCGGAAUCACUGGGCGUAAAGCGUCUGUAGGUGGCUUUUCAGUCUGCUGUUAAGACUGAGGCUUAACCUCAGAAGACAGUGGAAACUGACAAGCUAGACAUGGUAGGGGUAAGGGAAUUCCCAGUGUAGCGGUGAAUGCGUAGAUUUGGGAAGAACCCUGUGGCGAAGCGCUUUACUGGACAUUGCUGACACUGAGAGACGAAGCUAGGGUAGCAAUGGGAUAGAUACCCCAUAGUC
rnacentral:rRNA from 1 species